rnacentral:misc_RNA from 1 species
GAUGAAGAACGUAGCGAAAUGCGAUAAGUAGUGUGAAUUGCAGAAUUCAGUGAAUCAUCGAAUCUUUGAACGCACAUUGCGCCCCUUGGUAUUCCAUGGGGCAUGCCUGUUCGAGCGUCAUUUGUACCUUCAAGCUUUGCUUGGUGUUGGGCGUCUUGUCUCUAGCUUUGCUGGAGACUCGCCUUAAAGUAAUUGGCAGCCGGCCUACUGGUUUCGGAGCGCAGCACAAGUCGCACUCUCUAUCAGCAAAGGUCUAGCAUCCACUAAGCCUUUUUUUCAACUUUUGACCUCGGAUCAGGUAGGGAUACCCGCUGAACUUAAGCAUAUCAAUAAGCGGAGGA